rnacentral:misc_RNA from 1 species
AGGAAGUAAAAGUCGUAACAAGGUCUCCGUUGGUGAACCAGCGGAGGGAUCAUUACCGAGUUUACAACUCCCAAACCCCUGUGAACAUACCUAUCGUUGCUUCGGCGGGUCUCGCCCCGGCGCCCUCGGGCCCGGACUCAGGCGCCCGCCGGAGGACCUAAACUCUUGUCUUUAUGAGUAUCUUCUGAGUGACACAAGUAAAUAAAUCAAAACUUUCAACAACGGAUCUCUUGGUUCUGGCAUCGAUGAAGAACGCAGCGAAAUGCGAUAAGUAAUGUGAAUUGCAGAAUUCCGUGAAUCAUCGAAUCUUUGAACGCACAUUGCGCCCGCUAGUAUUCUGGCGGGCAUGCCUGUUCGAGCGUCAUUUCAACCCUCAAGCCCCCGGGCUUGGUGUUGGGGUUCGGCCCGCCCUUAGCGGCGCGCCGUCCCCGAAAUCUAGUGGCGGUCUCGCGAUAGCCUCCUCUGCGUAGUAGCAAUAUCUCGCACUGGGACUGAGCAAGGCCACGCCGUUAAAC